CUCCGCUCUCUCCCUCUCUUUGCUCCUAUCUCGCUGACCAUUAAUGGCAAUACCAUAGCAGAACUGAAUAUCAGUUUCAGGUAUUUCUUCCAAACCCUAAUUCACUCCUCAAUUCAAUAAUAGAUCCGUUAUCUUUUUCUAUUUUUUUUGUCAUUUCCUUUCACCAAAGGUGCAAAUUCACCUGUCUUGAAUCCCAUAUGCUCUAAUACAGUCCACAGAAAUAAUUCAAAAUAUUCCAGAUCUGAUAA
rnacentral:lncRNA from 1 species